rnacentral:rRNA from 1 species
GGGGAAUUUUGGACAAUGGGCGAAAGCCUGAUCCAGCCAUUCCGCGUGCAGGAUGAAGGCCCUCGGGUUGUAAACUGCUUUUGUACGGAACGAAACGGCUCUGGUUAAUACCUGGGGCUAAUGACGGUACCGUAAGAAUAAGCACCGGCUAACUACGUGCCAGCAGCCGCGGUAAUACGUAGGGUGCGAGCGUUAAUCGGAAUUACUGGGCGUAAAGCGUGCGCAGGCGGUUAUGUAAGACAGGUGUGAAAUCCCCGGGCUUAACCUGGGAACUGCAUUUGUGACUGCAUAGCUAGAGUACGGUAGAGGGGGAUGGAAUUCCGCGUGUAGCAGUGAAAUGCGUAGAUAUGCGGAGGAACACCGAUGGCGAAGGCAAUCCCCUGGACCUGUACUGACGCUCAUGCACGAAAGCGUGGGGAGCAAAC